rnacentral:rRNA from 1 species
CACGUAGGGCGCGAGCGUUGUCCGGAAUUAUUGGGCGUAAAGAGCUCGUAGGCGGCCUGUUGCGUCCGCUGUGAAAGCCCGGGGCUUAACCCCGGGUCGGCAGUGGAUACGGGCAGGCUAGAGGUAGGUAGGGGAGAUUGGAAUUCCUGGUGUAGCGGUGGAAUGCGCAGAUAUCAGGAGGAACACCAAUGGCGAAGGCAGAUCUCUGGGCCGUAACUGACGCUGAGGAGCGAAAGCAUGGGGGAGCGAACAGG